UACGUAGGGGGCCAGCGUUGCUCGGAAUUACUGGGCGUAAAGGGUUCGUAGGCGGUGUGGCAAGUUGGGAGUGAAAUCUCUGGGCUCAACCCAGAGGCUGCUUCCAAAACUGCCAUGCUUGAGUGUGGGAGAGGCGCGUGGAAUUGCAGGUGUAGCGGUGACAUGCGUAGAUAUGUGCAGGAACACCAGUGGCGAAGGCGGCGCGCUGGACCACAACUGACGCUGAGGAACGAAAGCUAGGGGAGCAAACAGG
rnacentral:rRNA from 1 species